rnacentral:rRNA from 1 species
UACGUAGGGGGCAAGCGUUUGUCCGGAUUUAUUGGGCGUAAAGAGCGUGUAGGCGGCCAGGUAGGUCCGCUGUGAAAACUCGAGGCUCAACCUCGAGAUGUCGGCGGAAACCAUCUGGCUAGAGUCCGGAAGAGGAGAGUGGAAUUCCUGGUGUAGCGGUGAAAUGCGCAGAUAUCAGGAGGAACACCGGUGGCGAAGGCGGGUCUCUGGGCCGAUACUGACGCUGAGGAGCGAAAGCGUGGGGAGCGAACAGG